rnacentral:rRNA from 1 species
AGAGUUUGAUCCUGGCUCAGAACGAACGCUGGCGGCAGGCCUAACACAUGCAAGUCGAGCGCGCCUUUCGGGGUGAGCGGCGGACGGGUUAGUAACGCGUGGGAAUAUGCCCUUUGGUACGGAAUAGCCUCUGGAAACGGAGAGUAAUACCGUAUGAGCCCUUCGGGGGAAAGAUUUAUCGCCAAAGGAUUAGCCCGCGUUAGAUUAGGUAAUUGGUGGGGUAAUGGCCUACCAAGCCUACGAUCUAUAGCUGGUUUUAGAGGAUGAUCAGCAACACUGGGACUGANAACACGGCCCAGACUCCUACGGGAGGCAGCAGUGGGGAAUCUUGGACAAUGGGGGCAACCCUGAUCCAGCCAUGCCGCGUGAGUGAUGAAGGCCUUAGGGUCGUAAAGCUCUUUCGCCUGUGAAGAUAAUGACGGUAGCAGGUAAAGAAACCCCGGCUAACUCCGUGCCAGCAGCCGCGGUAAUACGGAGGGGGUUAGCGUUGUUCGGAAUUACUGGGCGUAAAGCGCACGUAGGCGGAUCGGAAAGU